ensembl:lncRNA
GAGCACCCCCUUGACCAAGGCCGUGGCCCCUUUCCUGGGCAGCCUGCAUUCAGCAACUGGUAAUGCAGCCAUAUAAGAGCCUGGCAUUCUCGCCUUAACUAGGGACAACUGUGCAGGGUCAUUUCCGCCCAGAGCUCGCCUGGGUCAGCAGAGGCCUUGGCUGAGGCAGCAUGCCGGCUCGGCUUCCCACUCCCUCCCCUGCAGCCCUUCCUUUCCUUCCCCAGGUGUUGGUCCCAAAUGUAAGAGCAGCCGUGGGAUGUCGUCCCUGGCUGGGUGUCCACUUCCCUGCACCUCACCCCGGGGAGGAAGAGCAGGAGCUUUGGCUGGCAGUCGGCCCCUCUGCCACACUGACUCCACAGGCCACGGCCUCGAGGCUCACCUCACAGGAACACCAGGAAGGAGCGCUGUGCCACACUCCUCCCGCAGAUUCAGGAAGCGCAUCAGAGAACAAAGAGGACACUGGAAGACCAGCAGGGAACACGUCUGGAAGUCGGGUGGGGCUCCAGGGGACCGCAGGAGGCAGAGGCGAAGACCAGCUCCCACGGGCCUAGGGGACUGGCCAGCAUCCUGAUGAGGUGGUGGCCAUUGUACAACAGGGAUGUCCACAGUGUUUCCUGGGGCGUUUGUAACUCAGAUUUCUACUAUGUCCAUCGCCGUCCUUUGAUCACAGGCCUGUCCAGAGAGUUCUUUCUGUACAACCUUGUCUUCCUGUGAGGGAAGCGAUCAGAAUUGUCUUCAGGACCGGCCGAGAGAUGCUGGAGGAAAAACAGUCUGAGUUGCUGUGAUCAUGAAUAUGCUAACUUGCAAAUCACCCGAGCUGGGAAACAAGCACUAGAAACUGCCCACGGGCCUGAAAACUUGUCACACGUCGGCACAAGCAAACCAGUGUACAGUCUGUGAGAGGUCACUGGCAGCACACAUGGUCCCCAAAAUGCAAGUGUAGUUUUGUGUCUCUCUACAGGUGAAUGUGUUUCAGUUUUUAUAAGCCUCAGAAGCUCGUUUCUUUUCUCUGUCUCAUGCUCCCCGAGGCAGGUGAAGCUAAUGUAUAUGGUCACUGAAUACAUUUCAAGAUUUUCCAGGCUCCGACUUCUUUUCCCUCUCUUCUCCUGAAGUGUAGGAGUGGUGGCAACAUCAGGUAGAACACACAGAGGAAAAUGGCAGGGGCGGAUGCUGACACGAUGCUCGGAGGACCGCACUCCUUUCUCAGCCUGGCCUGCUUAGCAAAGCUGUUUGCAAAGAGAAAUACAUUUUGCUGUCCCCCUGGUUGAGGACACUCUGCCGUUUCCAGGUGGUAAAAAUGCAACAGAAACUGAUGCCUUUUCCUAGCGCACUGCCUUCCUGGGGAAAAAGCCCUGGCCAACCAACAGAGCUGAGCACACGUCGUAUUUCUAAGCAGGGUCAUCUGCUGGAGGUCCAGGUAGUUUGGUAAGUGACUGAAGCAAGAAGGAAAUACUUCUCCUUAAGGAGAAAAAGUGUUAAUCUCUUAAUUUAAACAGAAUAUCUCCUCCAGAAUGGAAGACACUAACAUUUGGUCUUUGAAGUGACAUGCUCGCUUUUGACCCACAACCCAGACAAAGAGCUUCUAGGAGGGGCCUUUGAGGCCGCUCUGAGCGGCUGCCCUCACACCUGGCCACAGGCUACAGAACAUAUUUUAAAAAGCCAGAUGUGCAACAGCUACACAUUUCCA